UACGUAGGGGGCAAGCGUUGUCCGGAAUCAUUGGGCGUAAAGGGCCAGUAGGCGGCCAACUAAGUCCGACGUGAAAUCCCAAGGCUUAACCUUGGAACUGCGUCGGAUACUGGAUGGCUUGAAUUCGGGAGAGGGAUGCAGAAUUCCAGGUGUAGCGGUGAAAUGCGUAGAUAUCUGGAGGAAUACCGGUGGCGAAGGCGGCAUCCUGGACCGACAUUGACGCUGAACGGCGAAAGCUAGGGGAGCAAACGGG
rnacentral:rRNA from 1 species